CAACAGCUCAAAUUUGAAAUCUGGCCUUCGGGUCCGAAUUGUAAUUUGUAGAGGAUGCUUUUGGCGCGGUGCCUUCCGAGUUCCCUGGAACGGGACGCCUUAGAGGGUGAGAGCCCCGUACGGUUGGACACCAAGCCUCUGUAAAGCUCCUUCGACGAGUCGAGUAGUUUGGGAAUGCUGCUCUAAAUGGGAGGUAAAUUUCUUCUAAAGCUAAAUAUUGGCCAGAGACCGAUAGCGCACAAGUAGAGUGAUCGAAAGAUGAAAAGCACUUUGAAAAGAGGGUUAAAUAGCACGUGAAAUUGUUGAAAGGGAAGCGUUUGCGACCAGACCUUUUCCUAGCGGAUCAUCCGGUGUUCUCACCGGUGCACUUCGCUAGGUUGAGGCCAGCAUCGGUUUCUGUAGGGGGAUAAAAGCUUGGGGAAUGUAGCUCCUUCGGGAGUGUUAUAGCCCCUUGCAUAAUACCCUUACGGGGACCGAGGACCGCGCUUCGGCAAGGAUGCUGGCAUAAUGGUCGUCAACGACCCGUCUUGAAACACGGACCAAGGAGUCGAACAUUUGUGCGAGUGUUUGGGUGUCAAACCCUCACGCGUAAUGAAAGUGAACGGAGGUGAGAGCCCUUACGGGUGCAUCAUCGACCGAUCCUGAUGUCUUCGGAUGGAUUUGAGUAAGAGCAUAACUGUUCGGACCCGAAAGAUGGUGAACUAUGCGUGGAUAGGGUGAAGCCAGAGGAAACUCUGGUGGAGGCUCGCAGCGGUUCUGACGUGCAAAUCGAUCGUCAAAUCUGCGCAUGGGGGCGAAAGACUUAUCGAACCAUCUAGUAGCUGGUUACCGCCGAAGUUUCCCUCAGGAU
rnacentral:rRNA from 1 species